rnacentral:rRNA from 1 species
CAUGUAGGCGGUUCUGUAAGUCUGAUGUGAAAGCACGCAGCUUAACUGCGAUGUUGCGUUGGAAACUGCAGGACUUGAAUCCGAGAGGGGUGUGUGGAAUUCCUAGUGUAGGGGUGGAAAUCUGUUGAUAUUAGGAAGAACACCAGAGGCGAAGGCGACACACUGGCUCUGGAUUGACGCUGAGGUGCGAAAGCGUAGGUAGCGAACAGGAUUAGAUACCCUGGUAG